rnacentral:rRNA from 1 species
AUUGAACGCUGGCGGCAUGCCUUACACAUGCAAGUCGAACGGCAGCACGGGAGCAAUCCUGGUGGCGAGUGGCGAACGGGUGAGUAAUAUAUCGGAACGUGCCCAGUCGUGGGGAUAACGUAGCGAAAGCUACGCUAAUACCGCAUACGAUCUAUGGAUGAAAGCGGGGGAUCGCAAGACCUCGCGCGAUUGGAGCGGCCGAUAUCAGAUUAGGUAGUUGGUGAGGUAAAGGCUCACCAAGCCGACGAUCUGUAGCUGGUCUGAGAGGACGACCAGCCACACUGGGACUGAGACACGGCCCAGACUCCUACGGGGGGCAGCAGUGGGGAAUUUUGGACAAUGGGCGCAAGCCUGAUCCAGCAAUGCCGCGUGCAGGAUGAAGGCCUGGUGUAACUGCUUUGUACGGUAACG